rnacentral:tRNA from 1 species
AAUGAUAGUGCCUGAAAAAGGAUUAUUUUGAUAGAAUAAAUCAUAUAAAUUUAACUUUAUCAUCAUUA